rnacentral:rRNA from 1 species
GAUGAACGCUGGCGGCGUGCCUAAUACAUGCAAGUCGAGCGAACGGACGAGAAGCUUGCUUCUCUGAUGUUAGCGGCGGACGGGUGAGUAACACGUGGAUAACCUACCUAUAAGACUGGGAUAACUUCGGGAAACCGGAGCUAAUACCGGAUGAUAUUUUGAACCGCAUUGUUCAAAAGUGAAAGACGGUCUUGCUGUCACUUAUAGAUGGAUCCGCGCUGCAUUAGCUAGUUGGUAAGGUAACGGCUUACCAAGGCAACGAUGCAUAGCCGACCUGAGAGGGUGAUCGGCCACACUGGAACUGAGACACGGUCCAGACUCCUACGGGAGGCAGCAGUAGGGAAUCUUACGCAAUGGGCGAAAGCCUGACGGAGCAACGCCGCGUGAGUGAUGAAGGUCUUCGGAUCGUAAAACUCUGUUAUUAGGGAAGAACAUAUGUGUAAGUAACUGUGCACAUCUUGACGGUACCUAAUAAGAAAGCCACGGCUAACUACGUG